rnacentral:rRNA from 1 species
AUACGUAGGGGGCGAGCGUUGUCCGGAAUAAUUGGGCGUAAAGAGCGCGUAGGCGGCCUUUCAAGUCAGCUGUGAAAUCCCUCGGCUUAACCGGGGAGUUGCAGUUGAAACUGGAGGGCUUGAGUGCAGAAGAGGAGGGUAGAAUUCCUGGUGUAGCGGUGAAAUGCGUAGAUAUCAGGAGGAAUACCGGUGGCGAAGGCGGCCUUCUGGUCUGCUACUGACGCUGAGGCGCGAAAGCUAGGGGAGCGAACAGGAUUAGAUACCCUGGUAGUCCUAGCCGUAAACGCUGGGUACUAGGUGUAGGGGGUUUAGAUACCUUCUGUGCCGCAGUUAACGCAUUAAGUACCCCGCCUGGGGAGUACGGUCGCAAGGUUGAA